CCAAGAUGGCCGAAUAGGAACAGCUCCGGUCUACAGCUCCCAGCGUGAGCGAUGCAGAAGACGGGUGAUUUCUGCAUUUCCAUCUGAGGUACCGUGUUCAUCUCACUAGGGAGUGCCAGACAGUGGGCUCAGGAACUCAUUAUACAAUGACAAAUGGAGGCAGCAUUAACAGUUCUACACAUUUACUGGAUCUUUUGGGUGAACCAAUUCCAGGUGUUGGUACAUAUGAUGAUUUCCAUACUAUUGACUGGGUGCAAGAAAAAUGUAAAGACAGAGAAAGGCAUAGAUGGCUUCCAUGAUGGAAGAUUAUGUUCAGAAGACCACAAAAUUAAAUUUUGUGUAGAGAAUAGAG